rnacentral:rRNA from 1 species
CGGCAGCACGAGAGAGCUUGCUCUCUUGGUGGCGAGUGGCGGACGGGUGAGUAAUAUAUCGGAACGUGCCCAGUAGCGGGGGAUAACUACUCGAAAGAGUGGCUAAUACCGCAUACGCCCUACGGGGGAAAGGGGGGGAUCGCAAGACCUCUCACUAUUGGAGCGGCCGAUAUCGGAUUAGCUAGUUGGUGGGGUAAAGGCUCACCAAGGCAACGAUCCGUAGCUGGUUUGAGAGGACGACCAGCCACACUGGGACUGAGACACGGCCCAGACUCCUACGGGAGGCAGCAGUGGGGAAUUUUGGACAAUGGGGGAAACCCUGAUCCAGCCAUCCCGCGUGUAUGAUGAAGGCCUUCGGGUUGUAAAGUACUUUUGGCAGAGAAGAAAAGGCAUCCCCUAAUACGGGAUGCUGCUGACGGUAUCUGCAGAAUAAGCACCGGCUAACUACGUGCCAGCAGCCGCGGUAAUACGUAGGGUGCAAGCGUUAAUCGGAAUUACUGGGCGUAAAGCGUG